GCAAAGAAGACCAUGAGUUCCCAGCCCUGCAGAUGGGAACCUGCAACCCUCCCUCUGGGUGAGAUCCCUUCACUAGACAGACCUCACCUCAUGGGCUUUGUUCUCUUCUCAUGGUUGAUCCAUAUAAGAGGGCAAGGUCUAUUGUGGCCCUCUGCAAAUUGCCUUAACUCUGCAGUGCUUUUAGGAUUGCAGGAUUCCUGUGCCUGUUCCAGCCUUCUUCUGAAGAGGGACUCUAGAGUUCUGUUACUGAAGAAACAUCUCAGCAACGUUGAGGCAACAAUCACGCCUUCACGGUCACCUUAGCCUGAGUGUUUCCAAGGGGAAAGGUGGCAAAAACAGCCCAACUGGUUAUGGCACACGCCCAUAGACUUACAACACGCCGCCGUGGAAAGUGCCUAAAAGCUCCACAGGAUGCUUCCCACCACUUUGUAAUUCUCAUUUCUGCUCGCAGCUCUUCUGAUCGUGAAUAAGUAAGAUUUUGCUUUGACUUGACUGUUCUGCUCACUUAGCUGAUGUUGUGACAUUGGCAUUGAGUCGUGGGUUGUAUUGUGUUUUGGAGAGAUUAAAUGUUUUCUUCUUUAUUCAGAAGGGAAGCCAGACAACUAAGCUGCCAACAAUUACAGCUUGACACACUGUCAGAGGAGAGGAAGCAGUUUGUUAUCGUAGCUAUAUAGUAAGAGAAGAAUAUAUAUUGACAGGGUCCAUUUUAGAAUGGCAUUUCUCAGACACAAUUUCGAAUGAAUCAUUUUAGAAACAACUACAGACAAUGUUCUUCCUUCCCCUUUCAGCAGGCAGGCAAAAGUCCACAAAAAUUUCACAAGCUAAAUCUCCAUACAGACAUCCAUAAUUCAGUGUGUCAGAGCUUUACUAUAAAGCUCAUCAUUUGUGAAGUUAUGUAAAAAUCUCCUUUGUAAGAAAAUCUUUCCCCACUAUCUUAGUAGGAAGGUGCUUUUUGAUCUCUGCAUGAAUAUUUCUAAUAAAAAUACUUGCGUGUAUCUUAACAUCUCUAACAUAAAUUAUAAGACCUUUUCCUCUAUUAAAACAUCCAGUGUCAACGCUGUUGUUGAAUACUUAAUGUAAAGUAUAAUGUAAUUUGACUAGAUAAUUAUCUGGGGGAAAAUGGCGAAUGCAGUGUUGUUUUUUCUGUGUUUGUUUUUCAUCUUUGGUGACUGUUUAAAGGAGAGCUGCAGCUGAAUGACUAACAGUCUAAGAUUCACCUUCUCUCACUGCAGCCUGCUGCUGAAAAGAUACUGCCAUAGCACUGCAUCUGAGUGAGAGGCAUUGAUUUCUGCACAGCAUAUGGAAUACUCUGGGCCUUUCUAUGGUCAAUCUAUCACCCUGAUCUCUAGGGACGUUUAGACAGCACGCAGCCUAUUUAUUUGGCACAGUGUCUUUCCAUUGAGAUUUCUCUUCCAUGAUACACUCGCAGUGCUUUUUUUUCCCACAAAAUAUAAGCCAUCUUUUCCUUUUUUUGUAUACUAUAAGCUUAAAAUAAAUCUAAUUCUAUUUGC
ensembl:lncRNA